GUGCAGAAAAAGUAACUUAACUUUGAACAUCAGGAUAGUUGUGGAUAUUAGAAGGCUUGCUACAGGACAGCACCACAAGCCACUUCGUAUAUAUGUUACAGUGAUGGAAAAGGACAACUGCACAGUUGUCUACUGUAUGUAGCAACCGCACACUGGUAGUGCAGUGAAGCAAGUAUUUGAAAAAUGCUCUUGACAUCAAUGAGAUAUAUUAGUUCAUCGCUUCGUUGAAACAAAGCCGGCAAUCCUAGUCUAUAUCUGACAGUACGUGUGUGUGUUCAGAGUUAUUGCAUCACGGACCACUUACGGCACCAUCCAUAAAACCCUCUAACCCCUUCUGUCUUACCAGAAGGAAGUUUAGAGAGAAAUAAAAUCAA